GACCGCUCCGGUGGCCUCAGUGGUUAGAGCAUCCGCCUCGGAUGCGGUAGGUCGAGGGUUCGGACCCCGGCCAAGUCA